GUGCUCACUUUGGUAGCACAUAUACUAAAAUUAGAAUGAUACAGAGAAAAUUAGCAUGGCCCCUGUGAAAGGAUGACAUGCAAAUUCAUGAAGCAUUCUAUAUUUUU
ensembl:snRNA U6 U6 spliceosomal RNA